ACGGAGGUUAUUGUUUGAAGAGAAUAAAGUUUUUUAUAUAAAUACAGCACAAAUCAGAUACAGCCAAAAUUAGAAACAACUUUUACUUUGAUUGAAAUUUUCAUAAAAAUGAAAAAAAAAAGCUAGUUGGGGAAGUUAUUCGAAAAGUGAUUGUGAUUGAAGAUGAUGAGGGGAAAAAAGAAAUUAUUGUUAACGAAUUGGAAUUUUUACUAUAUGAUAUUUAUAGACCGGAUGUUAUUGAAAAACGAUGGGAGACAGAUGAAAUUCAUUUUAUCCUAUUGAUUUGUAAAGAGGUUACAAACGAUCAUGAAUUUAUCAGCAUAUGGAAAACAUUUAAAAACAUAAACGUUUUAAAAAAAAGAAUUCGUAAGUUAAAUCGUUUACGAAAGAAGAAACGUUAAUUUUUUUUUUGUAUAGUUUUAUAAAUUUUGAAAAUAUAUUUACAAUAUUAUUUUU